GACAGAGGGUGCAAACGUUGUUCGGAAUUACUGGGCGUAAAGCGCGUGUAGGCGGCUAUGUAAGUCGGGCGUGAAAUCCCACGGCUCAACCGUGGAAGUGCACCCGAAACUGCGUAGCUAGAGUCCUGGAGAGGAAGGUGGAAUGCUUGGUGUAGAGGUGAAAUUCGUAGAUAUUCGGAAGAACACCAGUGGCGAAGGCGACUUACUGGACGAUUGUUGACGCUGAGGUGCGAAAGCGUGGGGAGCAAACAGG
rnacentral:rRNA from 1 species